rnacentral:rRNA from 1 species
UACGUAGGGCGCAAGCGUUGUCCGGAAUUAUUGGGCGUAAAGAGCUCGUAGGCGGUGUGUCGCGUCGGCCGUGAAAACCUGGGGCUCAACUCUGGGCUUGCGGUCGAUACGGGCAUCACUGGAGUUCGGCAGGGGAGACUGGAAUUCCUGGUGUAGCAGUGAAAUGCGCAGAUAUCAGGAGGAACACCGAUGGCGAAGGCAGGUCUCUGGGCUGACACUGACGCUCAUG